AUAGGCGACGACGCCCACCGCCCAGCCCUGCUCCAGCUGCAGCCGGUGGCGGAGGGCACGCGCGAAGGUUGACUUUCCGGCUGCGGGCAGGCCACAGAGGACGCAUAGGCCUAAGUUCUGCGACCCCUCGCUGCGCGCUCCUCUGGCGUCCUCGCCGGUCUUCAUGCUGCUGAGAAAGACGGAGGCGGCUGGAAGCAUUGUCUGCGGAACGGUCCGCCAGCCGCGCACGCGCAGUCUCCCACCGCUCUGGUGCGCCGCCUGGUGGCGCCGUGGAGGAAAGGGCGAGUCUUCUAAUCCAAAAACCGUGAGAGGUCGCGGUUUCCCAAGUCGUCUCCUAUGGUCACCUGCACCGCUGAUGCGGAGCUUUCUUGAGGCGAGUUUGAGUUUCCUAAAACCUGGACUUUCCCAAAGAGCCAGAGAGUUGGAUUUAGUCUUCAGUUAGAAUCAUCCUUCCUGCCGGAAACUUGCAAACGGCGAGGAUCUGCGCCUCUGCGCUGUUUCUCUUUUUAACGCUGAAUUCCCCUGAUCAGGAAAAUCGCCUGAGAGACUUUAAGCUUCUUCCUGCAGCGGUCUUUGGGAGAUAAGUUACUGGAAAUCAGGGAAUAGGAGCCGAAGCUGACCCUUGACUCCGCUGCCCCUCCCACAUGAGAUCGGUGGAAGGGCGAAGUCAGUAUUAGUUAUUGCGCCCUAGCGCCGCCCGUCGGCACCAAGUGUGAGGAAGUAAUGACCGAAAAGGGCCAUCCCUGGGUAUCAGUUCCAGUGCAUUAAUGGAGAGCAUAUUAGGUGUUUUAGGGUUGAAACAAAAAGACAUGCGAAGCUAUGGAAAAGCAUAAAACCAAUUCUUUCUGCGGGGAUGUAUAGAAAAGUUGAAUUCAGAUUCUAGCCUUACUUUAGAGGAUUACUUCAUAGUCAUAAGGAGAUACUGGAACCACAACCAGGUGGAAGAAGUUAACUGUAUGCUGCCCACAAUCCCAGAGCCCCCAGAAGGGUUGGAACCGGAAGGUUGAUGAUUCUGACUCCCAAUGACCUCACCACCAGCCAACCAGAAGACUGUCCACGUGCUGGUAUACACCCCACAACCCCCUCCCUCACCUGUCUUUUAAAACCUUUUCCUGGGAGUUCCUGUUGUGGCUCAGUGGUUAAUGAAUCUGACUAGAAUCCAUGAGGACAUAGGUUCAAUCCCCUUGCUCAGUUGGUUAAGGAUCCAGCGUUGCCAUGAACUGUGGUGUAGGUUGCAGACACGGCUCGUAUCCUGCACUGCUGUAGCUGUGAAAAGUAAAACCUUUUCCUGAAGGCCACCAGGGAGUUGGGGCCUUUUGAGCAGCACUUGCAGGGACCCUUUGCUUGGCGCCCUGCAGUAAAUGCUGCAUUUUCCGUCACAACCUAGUGUCAUAGACUUGGCUUUACUGUGUACAGGUAAGAGGACUCAGGUUUGGUUUGGCAACAGAAGUAUCUCCUAUUAUUUCCAUUUUCAAUACCCUAACAAUACAUGAGCUUGAGCAUGUUUUCGUGUGUUUACUUGCCAUCUACAUACUGUUGGCCCUGCAUACCUGUGCGUUCCAUACCUGCAGAUCCAGCCAACUGCAAAUCAGAAACAUUAGGAAAAAAAUUCCAGAAAGUUUCAAAAGCAAAAUUUGAAUUUUUCCCACGCUGGCAAUUAUUUAUACUCCAUUCACAUUGUAUUUACAACUGUUUACAUAGUAUUUCAUUGAAUUAAAUACUUCAAGUUCACUAAAGUGUACAGGUUUUUAUAAGUUGUAUGUCAGUACUACACAUUUUAUGUAAGGGACUUGUAAAUCUGCAGAUUUUGGUAUGCAUGGGGGGUCCUGGAUCAGUCCCCAGCAGAUGUCCAGGGAUGACUAUCUUCUUUGGUGGGGUUUCUCUUCAGAUCUUUUGCCCAUGUUUAAACUGGGUUGUUCAUUUUCCUACUGUUGAAUUGUAAGGGUUGUUUUGUAUAUUUUGGAUAAUAGUCCUCUAUGAGAUACGUCUUUUGCAAAUAUUUUCUCCCAGUCUGUGGCUUACCUUCUUGCUCUCCUGACAGUUUCUUUGGCAGAGUGAAUUUUUUCAUUUUAAUUAAUUCCAGCUUACUAAUUCCUCCUUUCAUGGAUCUUGUCUUUGAAGUUGUAUCUAACAUAUCAUCACCAGGAGUUCCAUUGUGGCUCAGCGGCAGCGAACCCGACUAAUAUCCAAGAGAAUGAGGGUUCAGUCCCUGGCCUCUCAGUAGGUUAAGGAUCCCCAGCGCCGUGAACUGCAGUGUAGGUCAGACAUGGCCUGUACUUGGUGUGCUGUGGCUGUGGUGUAGGCUGGUAGCUGCAGCUGCGAUUCCACCCUUAGCCUGGGAACUUCCAUAUGCCACAGGAGCAGCCCUAAAGAGAAAAAAAAAAAAAAAAAUCACAAGCCCAAAGUCAUCUAGAUUUUUUUUUCUGGGUUAUCUUUUAUAAGUUUUAUAGUUUUGCAUUUAGCAGUAAGGUCUAUGAAUAGAUCUGAAUUAAUUUUUGUGCAAGAUAUAAAUCCUGUGUUUACAUCAUUUUUUUUAACACACGUGGUUAUCCAGUUUACCUCCAUUUUGUCGAAAAAAAAUUUUUCCCAUUACAUUGCCUUUUCUUCUUUGUCAAAGAUCAGUUGACUGUAUUUGUAUGAGUCUGCUUCUGGGCUCUGUAUUCUGUCCAAUUAUCUAUUUGUCUAUUCUUUUGCCAAUACCACACUGUCUUGAUUACUGUAGCACUAUGUGUUUGCUUGAUACUUGUGUACCAAAUACUGUGUUAAAUGAUUCGGAUUCGGACGUAAAUAAAAGAUAUUUUCUGUUAAGAAAAAA